AUGAGUUGUGAUGGGGUUUGAUGCUGGCACCCGGUUUGGGUGCAUGUGCUUGCCCUGACAAUCAUUUUCUAAACACCCGUGCACAAUUUUGAGGGAAUUUUUAAGUUGAUUGCCGUUUUUGGGUGGUCUUCUUGCAUUCCCUUAGAUCAUUUAUACGCCAUUAGCAAUAUUGAACGUGCGCUGUGCCGCAAGGCCAUUAAUGUAAUUA
rnacentral:misc_RNA from 1 species